rnacentral:lncRNA from 1 species
GUGGCUGGGCCGGCGGCGGCGGCGGUACGAGGCGCGCGCUCGGGGUCCCGGUCGCGAGGAGGAGGAGGAUGUGGCGCGCGGAGGGGAAAUGGCUGCCGAAAACAAGCCGGAAGAGCGUUUCCCAAAGUGUAUUCUGCGGAACUAGCACCUACUGUGUUCUCAACACCGUGCCACCUCUAGAAGAUGAUCAUGGGAACAGCAAUAGUAGUCAUGUAAAAAUCUUUUUACCGAAAAAGCUGCUUGAAUGUCUGCCGAAAUGUUCAAGUUUACCCAAAGAGAGGCACCGAUGGAACACUAAUGAGGAAAUUGCAGCUUAUUUAAUAACAUUUGAGAAACACGAAGAAUGGCUAACCACCUCCCCUAAGACAAGACCCCAGAAUGGCUCCAUGAUCCUCUACAACAGGAAGAAAGUGAAAUACAGGAAAGAUGGGUAUUGCUGGAAAAAGAGGAAAGAUGGCAAAACGACCAGAGAGGACCACAUGAAACUGAAGGUCCAGGGAGUGGAGUGCUUGUACGGCUGCUAUGUCCAUUCCUCCAUCAUCCCCACCUUCCACCGGAGGUGCUACUGGCUCCUUCAGAACCCCGACAUCGUCCUGGUGCACUACUUGAACGUGCCGGCCAUCGAGGACUGCGGCAAGCCCUGCGGCCCCAUCCUCUGCUCCAUCAACACCGACAAGAAGGAGUGGGCGAAAUGGACAAAGGAGGAGCUCAUUGGGCAGCUGAAGCCCAUGUUCCACGGCAUCAAGUGGACGUGCAGCAAUGGGAACAGCAGCUCGGGCUUCUCAGUGGAGCAGCUUGUGCAGCAGAUCCUCGACAGCCACCAGACCAAGCCGCCGCCGCGGACUCACAACUGCCUCUGCACCGGCAGCCUGGGAGCGGGCAGCAGCGUGCACCACAAGUGUAACAGUGCCAAACACCGCAUCAUCUCGCCGAAGGUGGAGCCGCGGGCAGGGGGGUACGGGGGCCACGCGGAGGUGCAGCACAAUGACGUGUCGGAGGGCAAACAGGAGCACAGCCACCACGGCAAGGGCUCGAGUCGAGAGAAGAGGAACGGCAAGGUGGCCAAGCCCGUGCUGCUGCACCAGAACAGCACGGAGGUCUCCUCUACCAACCAGGUGGAGGUCCCCGACACCACCCAGAGCUCCCCCGUGUCCAUCAGCAGCGGGCUCAAUAGCGACCCGGACAUGGUGGACAGCCCCGUGGUCACGGGCGUGUCCAGCAUGGCGGUGGCGUCCGUGAUGGGGAGUUUGUCCCAGAGCGCCACGGUGUUCAUGUCCGAGGUCACCAACGAGGCCGUGUACACCAUGUCCCCCACCGCCGGCCCCAACCACCACCUCCUCUCGCCCGACGCCUCUCAGGGCCUCGUCCUGGCUGUGAGUUCUGACGGCCACAAGUUCGCCUUCCCCACCACGGGCAGCUCGGAGAGCCUGUCCAUGCUGCCCACCAACGUGUCCGAAGAGCUUGUCCUCUCCACCACCCUUGACGGGGGCCGGAAGAUUCCAGAAACCACCAUGAACUUUGACCCCGAUUGUUUCCUCAAUAACCCAAAGCAGGGCCAGACGUACGGGGGCGGAGGCCUGAAAGCCGAGAUGGUCAGCACCAAUGUCCGGCACUCGCCACCCGUGGAGAGGGGCUUCGGCUUUACCACCGUCCUGACCAAGGAGAUCAAGACUGAGGACACCUCCUUUGAGCAGCAGAUGGCCAAAGAUGCCUACUCCUCGUCUGCGGCGGCUGCAGCAUCCAGCUCCCUCACCCUGACCGCCGGCUCCAGCCUCCUGCCAUCGGGUGGUGGCCUGAGCCCCAGCACCACGCUGGAGCAAAUGGACUUCAGUGCAAUAGACUCCAACAAGGACUACACGUCCAGCUUCAGCCAGACGGGCCACAGCCCCCAUGUCCACCAGACCCCUUCCCCAAGCUUCUUCCUGCAGGACGCCAGCAAGCCCCUCCCCAUUGAGCAGAACGCCCACAGCAGCUUGAGUGACUCUGGGGGCACCUUUGUGAUGCCCACAGUGAAAACAGAGGCCUCAUCACAGACCAGCUCUUGCAGCGGCCACGUGGAGACGCGGAUCGAGUCCACAUCCUCCCUCCACCUCAUGCAGUUUCAGGCCAAUUUCCAGGCCAUGGCAACGGAAGGGGAGGUCACCAUGGAGACCUCGCAGGUAGCCGAAGGGGGUGAAGGCCUGAUCAAGUCCGGGGAGCUGCAGGCUUGUAGCUCUGAGCACUACCUGCAGCCAGAGCCCACCGGGGUGAUCCGCAGUGCCGGGGGCGUCCCCCUCCUCCCGGGCAAUGUGGUGCAGGGGCUCUACCCCGUGGCCCAGCCCGGCCUGGGCAACGCCUCCAACAUGGAGCUCAGCCUGGACCACUUUGACAUCUCCUUCAGCAACCAGUUCUCCGACCUGAUCAAUGACUUCAUCUCCGUGGAGGGGGGCGGCGGCACCAUCUACGGGCACCAGCUGGUGUCAGGGGACGGCACAGCACUCUCGCAGUCGGAGGAUGGGGCCCGUGCCCCCUUCACCCAGGCUGAGAUGUGCAUCCCUUGCUGUAGCCCCCAGCAGGGGAGCCUGCAGCUGAGCAGCGCCGAGGGCGGGGCCGGCACCAUGGCCUACAUGCACGUCGCUGAGGUGGUCUCGGCCGCCUCGGCCUCGGGCACCCUGGGGAUGCUGCAGCAGAGCGGACGGGUGUUCAUGGUGACCGACUACUCCCCGGAGUGGUCUUACCCAGAGGGAGGAGUGAAGGUUCUCAUCACAGGCCCUUGGCAAGAAGCCAGCAAUAAUUACAGCUGCCUGUUCGACCAGAUCUCGGUGCCUGCGUCCUUGAUUCAGCCCGGCGUGCUGCGCUGCUACUGCCCAGCCCACGACACUGGUCUUGUGACUCUACAAGUUGCCUUCAACAACCAGAUCAUCUCCAACUCGGUGGUGUUUGAGUACAAAGCUCGGGCCCUGCCCACACUCCCGUCCUCCCAGCACGACUGGCUGUCACUGGACGAUAACCAGUUCAGGAUGUCCAUCCUGGAGCGGCUGGAGCAGAUGGAGAGGAGGAUGGCAGAGAUGACCGGGUCCCAGCAACACAAGCAGGGGAGCGGAGGAGGCAGCAGCGGAGGGGGCACAGGGAGCGGCAGCGGAGGGAGCCAAGCCCAGUGCACGUCCGGCCCUGGGACGCUGGGCAGCUGCUUUGAGAGCCGAGUGGUUGUCGUGUGUGAGAAGAUGAUGAGCCGAGCCUGCUGGGCAAAGUCCAAGCAUCUGAUCCACUCAAAGACUUUCCGUGGGAUGACCCUCCUCCACCUGGCUGCUGCCCAGGGUUAUGCCACCCUCAUCCAGACCCUCAUCAAGUGGCGCACAAAGCAUGCAGACAGCAUUGACUUGGAACUGGAGGUCGACCCCUUGAACGUGGACCACUUCUCCUGUACCCCUCUGAUGUGGGCGUGUGCUCUCGGGCACUUGGAAGCAGCUGUGGUGCUGUACAAGUGGGACCGCCGGGCCAUCUCUAUUCCAGACUCUCUAGGAAGGCUGCCUUUGGGAAUCGCCAGGUCACGAGGUCACGUGAAGUUAGCAGAGUGUCUGGAGCACCUGCAGAGGGAUGAGCAGGCUCAGCUAGGACAGAACCCCAGAAUCCACUGUCCUGCAGGCGACGAGCCCAGCACGGAAAGCUGGGUGAGCCAGUGGCACAGCGAGGCCAUCAACUCCCCAGAAAUACCCAAAGGAGUCACUGUCAUCGCAAGUACCAACCCAGAGCUGAGAAGACCUCGGUCUGAACCCUCUAAUUACUACAGCAGUGAGAGCCACAAAGAUUAUCCAGCUCCCAAAAAGCAUAAAUUGAACCCCGAGUACUUCCAGGCAAGGCAGGAGAAGCUGCUGUCCACUGCACUGAGUCUGGAACAGCCAAAUAUCAGGAAGCAGAGCCCUAGUUCUAAGCAGCCUGUCCCAGAGACAAUCAGCCCCAGUGAAGGAUUGAGGGACUACAGCCGGGAGAUCUCCCCUCCCACUCCAGAGACUGCAGGAUUCCUCCACGCCUCUGCAUCCCAGCCGGUAGUAAAGUGGAACCCCAAAGAUCUUUACAUUGGUGUGUCUACAGUACAGGUGACUGGAAAUCCGAAGGGGACCAGUGUAGGCAAGGAUGCCGCACCUUCACAGGUGCGUCCACGGGAACCAAUGAGUGUCUUGAUGAUGGCUAACAGAGAGGUGGUGAACAGCGAGCUGGGGUCCUACCGUGAUGGUACCGAGAGUGAGGAGUGCUCACAGCCCAUGGAUGACAUACAGGUGAACAUGAUGACCUUGGCAGAGCACAUCAUUGAAGCCACACCUGAGCGGAUCAAGCAGGAGAACUUUGUGCCCAUGGAGUCCCCGGCAUUGGAAAGGAUAGACGCAGCCACCAUUAGCAGUACCAUGAGCUGGCUGGCCGGUUACCUGGCUGACGUAGACCACCUGCCAAAUGCUGCCCAGAUCAGAAGUGCAUAUAAUGAGCCUCUCACCCCUUCUUCUAAUACCAGCCUGAGCCCUGUAGGCUCACCAGUCAGUGAAAUAACUUUUGAGAAGCCCAGCCUUCCCUCUGCAGCAGACUGGUCUGAGUUCCUGAGUGCAUCCACCAGUGAGAAGGUGGAGAAUGAAUUUGCACAGCUGACCCUAUCUGAUCACGAACAGAGAGAACUCUAUGAAGCGGCCAGGCUUGUCCAGACAGCUUUCCGGAAAUACAAGGGCCGACCCUUACGGGAGCAGCAGGAGGUGGCGGCAGCUGUUAUUCAGCGCUGUUACAGAAAAUAUAAACAGUACGCACUUUACAAGAAGAUGACCCAGGCUGCCAUCUUGAUCCAGAGCAAAUUCCGGAGUUACUACGAACAAAAAAAAUUCCAGCAGAGCCGGCGCGCUGCUGUGCUGAUCCAGAAGUUCUACCGGAGUUAUAAGAAGUGUGGCAAGAGACGGCAGGCACGCCGGACAGCAGUCAUCGUCCAGCAGAAGCUCAGGAGCAGUUUGCUAACCAAAAAGCAGGACCAGGCUGCUCGGAAAAUAAUGAGGUUUCUACGCCGUUGUCGCCACAGCCCCCUGGUGGACCAUAGGCUGUACAAAAGGAGUGAAAGAAUUGAAAAAGGCCAAGGAACUUGA